CGGGCUGUAGCGCAGUUGGUAGCGCGCUUGGUUCGGGACCAAGAGGCCGCCGGUUCGAAUCCGGCCAGCCCGA
rnacentral:tRNA from 1 species